CCUCUUCCGUUUGCCCGCAGUCUGGAAAUCAAAGAAUCCUUAUCAGUGCUUCCUUCCUCUCAGAAAGCUGGAAUUCACAGCGUCCACCCCAAAAAUCUAUUGGCCUAAGCAAAUUCUUCCAAACCCCAAAGAGCUGAGAAAAGGGCAGUGGGCUGCGGCAGGCUGCCAACCCAGCACUUGCAGGAAAAUACUCCCCUACACUAGAGCCCUAAGGGGAUGGGAUAAAUACAUGGCUAUCUCUAGUUGUACAUGUCUUAUUUCUACCUCUAUGCCUAACAUCUAUUUAUCUCUGGUUUUCCUCCUCACAUGUCUAGGGCAUGGGUUUUACACCCAGUCAAAUUACUGAAGACACAUGAUUACCCAUUUUCUACUACUCAAAAUAAUCUCUCUCUCUCCCUUUCUCUCUCUGUCUCUCUCUGUGAAGCAAAUUGUUCUUUGCUGGUAAGGAAAGUAUUAAAGGUGCCAUAGCACCGGCAGCUCCUUCUUGGGGUACGCUGGGGUGCUACAAAAGAUCCCUGAAAAUCUUCAGCAUCUCCAUGAAGGCAGCCCGAAUGGCUGAUGUUAUCAAGCAGUGGGGAAUGAAGGGUCUGAUUGGAAUCUGAGGGUGCCCGCCAUGAGAAACCAAUUUGUAGAGAGUCAAAGCCCAUUUUGGUGGUGGUGCUGCUUUGUUGGGUCAAGGUUAUGCUCCACAAUUCCGUAUUUCAGGGCAGCAGUGCAACAAAGCUCUCGGCAGCAUCUGCUGCACCUUUCCCAGUGCGUGGGACUGUGAUUGGUGUUACCAGUCACAGCUAGAAGAUCUGCCUUCUGAUUGCCCUCUACAAUGGGACCAGGAAGGUCUGCAUGUGACCUGAUGUGCAUUUUAUGAAAUGGUUCCUCUUGGGGGGAAAUAAGGCAUACUAACUUGCAGAGCAAGCAAAAUAAUUGUUCAUUAGACACUUCAGCAUGGAGUGUUCUGCCCUUUCAGCUAUCCCAACAACACUGGCCAAAUCAGUGACUAGAUUAAAAGGUUGUUGGAAUUUUUUAAAUGCUCUGACAUCAGCAGACAACUCAGCAAUUUGGGGGUUCCUUCAACGACCUGAACAUCCUACUCCCACUUCUGAGUGUUUGAUCCUUCUAAGUGAUAACCGAUUUGUGUGAUUUUCCAGAGCCAGCUGUAAAAACUGUGUGGGCUUUAAGAGGAACCUUACUUUUUAGAGAAUUUGGGAGGAGAUGGAAUGUUUCUUUUAGUAGCUUGUGUUUUGGAUAAUGAAUAGAGACUUGUCUGGGAUAGCUCUCUAAAGCAAACUGAAGGUGUUCAUUUGUCUGUAAUAGGGAUUCUAAUUUUGUAGCUGAAAUGCUAGAUAAAUGUAUGUUGGGUCACACGCUGCAAGGGUUCAGAGGCGGUUCCUGCCUUUAAUGAUUAAUUGAGCUAAAAGCUCUUGUGUGGUUGUAAUAGUUUUUUUGGUUUGGCAAAAAUACCUAUUCUAUAAUUAACAAUUUAUCUGUAGAAGACGGGUCCCACUGAAAAAGUAGUGCCUGGAAAUGUGGGGAUUUACCAAGAAUAGCAAACUGGGAGGUUAGAGAGCGGUCAACGUGGUGUGCUUUUCCAGAUGAGAUAGCAGGUGCUACCUUUCGCAGCGCGUCGUGGGCAUCUGGAGUUAAGAUGCGCUGGGAAGUCAGGUCAUGGCUCCCCUUCAGUAGGCUGAACAAAGGGGACAGCUCUUCUCUUGUGAGUCCAAGCAGUGGUCGGAUCCAGGUGAUGGAGCUACACAACUGUUGUAUGUCCGUCAGCAUUUGAGCCUCAUCUUUUAUGGAGACACUUUGGGAAAUAAUGGCUGGUCUGCUGAUUAGGAAUCCAAGGUAUUUCCACAGGGAGGUGUACUGGGUUUUUUAGGAGUGAUAUCAAAACUUCAUCUUCAACUGCUCUCAUAGUCUUUCUGAUGACUGUGUUAAGGUAAGUCUUGUCUUGGGAGCAAAUUAAAUUGUCGUCCAUAUAAUGUAGAAUUAUAGCUUCAGGGAAGGCUUUCCUGAUUGGAGAUAUAAUCCCAGCAACAAACAUUUGACAUAAAACAUGGGAAUUUUUCAUUCCCUGUGGCAAUAUGACCUAAUGAUAUCUUUGAAAGGGUUCUUGACAGUUGAUGAUUGGUAUCGAAAAUGCGAAUUUGGGAGUGCAGGACAGAGAGGGAUGUUGAAUAAAAAGACUUUGGUAUCAAGGAUUGUGAGCUGCCAUUCCCUGGGAAGCACAGAAGGUGAGGAGAGGCCUGGUUGCAAGGGGCCCAUGUCUUCUAAAAUAUCAUUUACUUUCCAAAAGUCUUGUAAUAACCUCCAUCUGUCUUUGCCAGGUUUUUUAUAACAAUGACAUGGGUCAGGAGCUAGUUGAUGGUACAAUGUGUCCUUUUAAUAAUUGUUCUCACACUAGGGCGUGGAGUGCUUCUAAUUUGUCUUUUGGAAAAACCCAAUGAUCCACCCACACAGGAUCAUACCCACAGGGAGGGAUCAUACCUUUUCCCACAGAUGGACAACAGCCAUAUUGAGUGGUUUAGUUUUCAUUUCUUUUUAAUUCCCAAGGUUUCAUUUUUCUCAACAUUGUAAUACAGCACCUCUAUUCAAAUCAUUAUACUCACCUUGCUUAAUUAAAUAUUCAUUAAUUUUUUUCCUCCCGUAAUAUCAAAAUGGGACAAAAGCAUAGGAAGAACAACAAGCAAUUACAGAAAUACUGAAUCUUCCCUGAGAGUCCCUUGGGAACCAUGUUAAAACAAUGGGAAGAACAUCAGCUUACUAAAGAUAAAGAGCCACAGCUCAAGAUUGUGCAUUGCAUGUUUGAAUGGCCAAAGAAGAAAUUAAAACAAGGUCUGCACUGGCUGAAGCAUGGGUCUACCAGGAUGUGGAUUUGCAAAGUACUUUACAAUUACGUCCAAAUUAAAUUAACUGCAGACACAAUUGAAUUGCAAUAUGUGGAGGUCUGGUUUAAAUAUCGGAACAUUGAAAAGGAAGUAGAAACAGAUAAAACCAAAUUCUCUCUGUAAUGAUCAAUGAUAAAGACACAACAAGGAAAACCAAUCAACCAAGGUGGGACCCAUUAAAUUUCCUCCCCCCUACUGCACCUCCUAACGAACCAGCUGCAACUGCAGCUGAGUCAUUGGAGGCUUCAACGAGUCAUGUAACUGAGAGGGCUGAAGAAGUUGAAAGUAGCAGUGGGACAUCAGAAGAAACGUGUAAUCUACCAUCAUCCUCCAGGCAAAUUACAAAUUCAGCCAUGCAGGAAGUUCCUUCCAAUCAAGAAGGUCCAGCCUUCUUCACUCAAAGGAGAACCCUGGCGGUACAAAAAUGUUCCUCCUGCUCCAGCAGUAAAGAUAAAACAAAGGUGCCACCCCUCAGAGAGGUCCCAAUGGGGAGUGCACAAGGUAGAAUAGGACAUGGAAAUGCACCCCUCACCUCUUCAGAAGUGAGGCAUUUUAAAAAGGAAAUGGAGGUAUCAUUCAGUGACCCAGUAGGUUUGUCAGAACAAUUUGACCAGUUCUUAGGCCCUAGGAUUUACCCUUGGGGAGAAUUAAAUUCAAUCAUGCAAACCUUUUCUCUCCAGAGAAGAGAAAAGUUAUUUAGACUGCAGGGAUCAAUAUAUUGGACAGAGAACAUAAUUUAGGACCAAAUGGAGAGAAGAAAUUACCAUUAACUGAUCCAGAAUGGAACCCUAACUCAGAUGAGGGAAGAAAAAGUAUAGCAGAAUACAGAACCCGAAUUGUAAGGGGAAUAAAAGAGGCAGUCCCCAGAGUUAAUAACAUGAAGAAAGCCUUUGGAAGCGAACAAGAAAAAGAUGAGAGCCCAACUGACUGUAUAACUCGCUUAAAGAAUGACAUCCAAAUAUAUUCAGAAAUAGAUUUAGAUAGUGAAGGAGGGAAGACAAUGUUCUAGGUCCACUUUGCAUUACAUUCUUGGCCUGACAUAAAACGGAAAUUAGAGAAAUUGGAUGGCCAGAAAUUAGUUUAGAUGAGUUAUUAGCUGAAGCACAGUAAGUUUAUGCCAGGUGAAAUGAAGAGAAAAUGAAGACUAAAGCUAAGAUGAUGGCUGCUGUCCAAAUUCCUAAACCAAUUAGGCAGGAUGGGGAGAAUACUCAAUUGAAGAAACCUAUUUGCUUUUAUUGUAAGAAAGAAGACCAUAUGCAAUCCUGCUGUUUUAAGACAUUGAGGGACUUAAGAGAUUCUCCAAGUGGAGAAUCAACCCUCAGAGAACUGAGGGGGCCUGGGGCUCUUCUUCUAGGGGCACAAAAACCAUCUUCCAGAGCCCUUGAUAAAAUCAAGAAUAGGACCCCAAGAACAAUUAAUGGAAUUUUUAGUAGACACAGGAGCAGAGAAAACUUGUGUAAGUGAAAAACCAAAUGGAUGUGCCAUAAGCAAAGACACUUUCAAUAUUUGUGCUGUUAAAGGGGAAUCCUUCCCCAUUCCCAUCAUUAAGAAUGUCACUAUAAAGGGUAAUGGACUAACCAGAAAUGGAGAUUUGUUUUUCUACCUCCAGCAGGUAACAGCUUCCUUGGCCGGGAUCUCCAGAUACCUUUGAAAGUUCGAGUAGUUCCACAAGAAGGAAGGAUGAAGGUCAAAUUGUUUACUUUAUCCACACAAGAUGAACAGCUGAUUAUUCCUAUAGUGUAGGCCUGAACAGAUUCUCCUUCUAGACACCUGUUUGCCUUCACCUGGGAAGAUCCAGACACUGGAAGGAAACAGCAGCUCACCUGGACCUGGCAGCUGUAAGGGAGAAACAACAUGAAUAGAACCAAGGCCAGUUCGAGGAAGGACUUUCCUGCAUUUAGGUCCCUUCCUGCAUCCAGGUUGAACUGGUUACUUGAUGCCAUAGCAACUGUGCAAACUAAUGAGAGAGCUUCCCAUCGAAAACCUCAGAGAUAUGAUCCCACCCCAGUGACAGCACACUCUGGGAAAGAAGAUCUUACCCCAUCAUCUACUAGCACCAAUCACCAGAGACUAUGGGGGCAGAACUGCAAGUACAGACUGAGGGGACCGAGAAUAUCAAAGGGGCAGCCUGACCUGAAGAGCUGUCUUUGCUGUCUUUUACUGUUCCUGGGACUGUGACUUAGCUACAGCAGGGGACCCCACAGUACAGAUUUCAGUCAAUAUCUCUUUUUAGAGACCUUUUUCCAGAUUUGAGGGCAGACUAAGUGCAUUCACUGCAAUGCUCUUGGGUUCUUGC